rnacentral:siRNA from 1 species
UGAUAUUCGUACUCGUACCUCCA